rnacentral:rRNA from 1 species
UUAGAGUUUGAUCCUGGCUCAGGAUGAACGCUAGCGGCAGGCUUAACACAUGCAAGUCGAGGGGCAGCAUGUCCAGCAAUGGAUGAUGGCGACCGGCGGAAGGGUGCGUAACGCGUGAGCAACAUGCCCUAUACAGGGAGAUACACCAGGGAAACUUGGUCUAAUAUCCCAUAGCAUUCAUUGAAGGCAUCUUUAAUGAAUUAAAGCUUCGGUGGUAUAGGAUUGGCUCGCGUGACAUUAGCCAGAUGGUGAGGUAACGGCUCACCAUAGCAAUGAUGUCUAGGGGUUUUGAGAGGAAGGCCCCCCACACUGGGACUGAGACACGGCCCAGACUCCUACGGGAGGCGGCAGUGAGGAAUAUUGGGCAAUGGGCGCAAGCCUGACCCAGCCAUGCCGCGUGCAGGAUGACAGCCCUACGGGUUGUAAACUGCUUUUAUACGGGAAAAAACCCUCUGACGUGUCAGAGGCUGAUGGUACCGUAAGAAUAAGCAUCGGCUAACUCCGUGCCAGCAGCCGCGGUAAUACGGAGGAUGCAAGCGUUAUCCGGAUUUACUGGGUUUAAAGGGUGCGCAGGCGGAACGACAAGUCAGUGGUGAAAUCUCCUGGCUCAACCAGGAAACUGCCAUUGAUACUAUCGUUCUUGAGUCCAGUUGAAGUAGGCGGAAUGUAGCAUGUAGCGGUGAAAUGCUUAGAUAUGCUACAGAACACCGAUAGCGAAGGCAGCUUACUAAACUGAAACUGACGCUCAUGCACGAAAGCGUGGGGAUCAAACAGGAUUAGAUACCCUGGUAGUCCACGCC